CAUACGAACCUAGCUUCAGAUUCUUCCAAUAUCUUGCGAUGUCACUCUAAAUCGGAAACCCUAGCAGUCUCGAAGCUUCAAUUGAACGGCACAGAUUACUCCAUUCGAGCUAAAACCAUGGGAGAAGAUCCUGUGGGAAUGAGAACUACAUGUCUGUAUCAAGAAGAGGGUGAAACACUUACUUCGACAGCGGCGCCGAUGUCAAACUCCGGGAAGCACCUUAAAUCCGUGGUGAACUCUAUUCUUCCAAUUCUCUUUCUCUUCUCUGAAUUCUUGUGUUUUCUUCGGUUUGCAUCUUUGUUUGAUCUCUUCUUCUUCUACUUUAUCUUUUUCUUCUUCUACUACGUUAUUGCAUUUUCUUUGAUGCACGAAUCAAUACGAUUGUCACAUGUUCUAGGUUUACGAUGGUAG